UACGGGGGGAGCAAGCGUUGUUCGGAUUUACUGGGCGUAAAGGGCGCGUAGGCGGCCAGCACAAGUCAGUUGUGAAAUCUCCGAGCUUAACUCGGAAAGGUCAACUGAUACUGUGCGGCUAGAGUGCGGAAGGGGCAACUGGAAUUCUUGGUGUAGCGGUGAAAUGCGUAGAUAUCAAGAGGAACACCUGCGGCGAAGGCGGGUUGCUGGGCCGACACUGACGCUGAGACGCGAAAGCCAGGGGAGCGAACGGG
rnacentral:rRNA from 1 species